ACGAACGCUGGCGGCGUGCCUAACACAUGCAAGUCGAGCGGAGACAGUGAGUAGCUUGCUACGAACUGUUUUAGCGGCGGACGGGUGAGUAACGCGUGAGCAACCUUUCCCAGACAGGGGAAUAACACACCGAAAGGUGUACUAAUACCGCAUAAGACCACGGGAUCACAUGGUUCUGAGGUAAAAGAUUUAUCGGUUUGGGGUGGGCUCGCGUCCGAUUAGGUAGUUGGUGAGGUAACGGCCCACCAAGCCGACGAUCGGUAGCCGACCUGAGAGGGUGAUCGGCCACAUUGGGACUGAGACACGGCCCAAACUCCUACGGGAGGCAGCAGUGGGGAAUAUUGGGCAAUGGAGGAAACUCUGACCCAGCAACGCCGCGUGGAGGAAGAAGGUUUUCGGAUCGUAAACUCCUGUCCUUGGAGACGAGUAGAAGACGGUAUCCAAGGAGGAAGCCCCGGCUAACUACGUGCCAGCAGCCGCGGUAAUACGUAGGGGGCAAGCGUUGUCCGGAAUAAUUGGGCGUAAAGGGCGCGUAGGCGGCUCGGUAAGUCUGGAGUGAAAGUCCUGCUUUUAAGGUGGGAAUUGCUUUGGAUACUGUCGGGCUUGAGUGCAGGAGAGGUUAGUGGAAUUCCCAGUGUAGCGGUGAAAUGCGUAGAGAUUGGGAGGAACACCAGUGGCGAAGGCGACUAACUGGACUGUAACUGACGCUGAGGCGCGAAAGUGUGGGGAGCAAACAGGAUUAGAUACCCUGGUAGUCCACACUGUAAACGAUGAAUGCUAGGUGUAGGGGGUAUCGACCCCUUCUGUGCCGCAGUCAACACAAUAAGCAUUCCGCCUGGGGAGUACGGCCGCAAGGUUGAAACUCAAAGGAAUUGACGGGGGCCCGCACAAGCAGCGGAGCAUGUGGUUUAAUUCGACGCAACGCGAAGAACCUUACCAGGUCUUGACAUCCACUUAAACUUACAGAGAUGUAAGGUGUGCUUGCACAAAGUGAGACAGGUGGUGCAUGGUUGUCGUCAGCUCGUGUCGUGAGAUGUUGGGUUAAGUCCCGCAACGAGCGCAACCCUUAUCCUUUGUUGCCAGCGGUCCGGCCGGGAACUCAAAGGAGACUGCCAGUGAUAAACUGGAGGAAGGUGGGGAUGACGUCAAAUCAUCAUGCCCCUUAUGAUCUGGGCUACACACGUGCUACAAUGGCCACGACAGAGAGAAGCGAAAUCGCAAGGUAGAGCGGAACUCAAAAAAGUGGUCCCAGUUCGGAUUGUGGGCUGCAACCCGCCCACAUGAAGUCGGAGUUGCUAGUAAUCGCGGAUCAGCAUGCCGCGGUGAAUACGUUCCCGGGCCUUGUACACACCGCCCGUCACACCAUGGGAGUCGGUAACGCCCGAAGUCAGUGACCCAACCGUAAGGAGGGAGCUGCCGAAGGCGGGACCGAUAACUGGGGUG
rnacentral:rRNA from 1 species